rnacentral:rRNA from 1 species
UGGUGGGUAGUUUGACUGGGGCGGUCUCCUCCUAAAGAGUAACGGAGGAGCACGAAGGUUGGCUAAUCCUGGUCGGACAUCAGGAGGUUAGUGCAAUGGCAUAAGCCAGCUUGACUGCGAGCGUGACGGCGCGAGCAGGUGCGAAAGCAGGUCAUAGUGAUCCGGUGGUUCUGAAUGGAAGGGCCAUCGCUCAACGGAUAAAAGGUACUCCGGGGAUAACAGGCUGAUACCGCCCAAGAGUUCAUAUCGACGGCGGUGUUUGGCACCUCGAUGUCGGCUCAUCACAUCCUGG